rnacentral:rRNA from 1 species
GAAGAAGGCCUUCGGGUUGUAAAGCUCUUUCGCCGGGAAGAAAUCGUGGUCUCUAACAUAGGCCAUGGAUGACGGUACCGGACUAAGAAGCACCGGCUAACUACGUGCC